GUUUGAUAUGAACCACGCCCCUUACGGAAAAUCCUUUCCGCGUUCCCUUCUCCGGAGGUGCUCAAGUCACGCCCUUUUUUGGUACUCCGCAUGCGCACUUUCAGUAAGACUCAGGCCACGCCCCCAACUAAAGCCCGCCUUACGCUCGCGGUCCCACAGGACUUAAGCCCCGCCCCCUGGCCUCUGUUGCUCCCCAUCCCUAACGCCUCCGGAUGCAGGCCACACCCCUCUCCUGUUACGGUCUAUUGCCGGCCGGAUUGGAAACCCAACCUCGUGCGGAGGGCCCUCCUAGAGCUUCCCCACGCCGCUAGACGCAAGCCACGCCCCUUCCCGAAGACUUUUCCAAAUGGCGGCCCACUCAAGCCUUUAAACCCCAACACACUUGGUAAACUUCUGGCUCAGUUUUAAACUGUAGUUAUAAUCAAAUUUUCUUUGGCUACAUCGUUUGUUGAAAGCAAAACUCAAAGAAAACUAUUGGAAUGCUUCACACCACCAUCCCGCAAAACUCCUACAUUGUCAGGUCGUUGAAAAGCAUUAAAGAGAAGGUGUAGAGCACUGGGGACACAAAGACAGAACUGAAAAACAGCCUCUGCCCCCAAAAGGGCCUUCAUUCUACCAGAAGGAGAACGUGCCUGUGUUCACAGCGAAGUCAACGAAAGGUGAAUGAGUAUUGGAGACACAAUGGACAAGAUUACAACCUUGUGAGGUUCUAAUGGUUGGAAGAGAUAUGCCUCUCCAUCUUCUGUCUCUACGUCUUUGCACAGACUGUCCCCAUGCUCCAUUCUUCCUGUUCACCUUUGAUUGAAGGGAAAAGCAACAAGUGUUGGAGGAGAGGUGGAAAAACUGGGACACUAAUUCACUGUUGGUGGAAGUGUGAAAUGAUCCAACCAC